rnacentral:rRNA from 1 species
AUCAGGGGUAAACCUGUGGAACUCGACGAUCGAACGGGGAGAUUCAUUCAUCGCGGUUCCGCGCGGGUCCGCGGCGGGCCGUUCGGCGGCGACGGUUCGUCCGUCGUCGCCGUCGGUCCGUCGCAGUCGGGCCCCCGGAGCGCGUGCACUUCUCCCCCAGUACAACACCGCGACCCGUUCGUCGCGGCGGUCGAACGCGCCGUGCGGUUGUCCCGUCGUCGUCGGUAAAACGGCGGCGGCGGAGCCGCGGCGUCGCGGCCGCCGAMGGACGGUAGAGAACGAGGUUCGCGUCCGCCGCACUCGUGCGGCGUCCGUGGUGCUGCGGCGGCGCCCCCCGUUCGGACCUCGGCGCGCAAGCGUCGCGGGCUCCGGACGUCUGAGGUUUUGGGCGUCGCGUUCACAUGCGGCAUCGUCUCGGACGGGACGCGUCCCGGUCUGCGGUGGUUUUGUUUCGGGCACUCACAGGACCC